rnacentral:rRNA from 1 species
CCCAAAUGUAGGUAUAAGUAACGAUAAGAAGGGUAAGAUUCCCUUCCGCCGCAAGACUAAGGUUUCCCGGGCAAUGCCAAUCAUCCCGGGGUUAGUCGGGUCCUAAGUCUCAGCCGACAGGCGAGGGCGAUGGCAGACACGGUUAAUAUUCCGUGACUGCUGCAUGAUGCGAUUGUGGAGACGGAGAAGUGACACCAACGCGAGCUGACGGAAUAGCUCGUUGAAGAAAUUAGGCAU